ensembl:lncRNA
AUAACAGAUUUAAUUUACAAAGGAACUAGACAGUAUAACAGAUUUAAUUUACAAAGGAACUAGACAGUAUAACAGAUUUAAUUUACAAAGGAACUAGACAGUAUAACAGAUUUAAUUUACAAAGGAACUAGACAGUAUAACAGAUUUAAUUUACAAAGGAACUAGACAGUAUAACAGAUUUAAUUUACAAAGGAACUAGACAGUAUAACAGAUGUAAUUUACACAGUGGAGCGCAGCUGCUUGUCAAGAAGCCACACUCAUGUUAGAAGUUCAGCUCCCUGAAACAAUUAUUUUCAAAUAAAAAACUAAUUUAAUCAAAAAAAGGGGAAUUUCUAUCAUCCUAAUGAAGGUCUAGAUUACAUCUCACAUUCCAGUGUUUCUAAUGGAGGUCUAGAUUACAUCUCACAUUCCAGUGUUUCUAAUGAAGGUGUAGAUUACAUCUCACAUUCCAGUGUUCCUAAUGGAGGUGUAGAUUACAUCUCACAUUCCAGUGUUUCUAAUGGAGGUCUAGAUUACAUCUCACAUUCCAGUGUUUCUAAUGGAGGUGUAGAUUACAUCUCACAUUCCAGUGUUUCUAAUGGAGGUGUAGAUUACAUCUCACAUUCCAGUGUUUCUAAUGGAGGUCUAGAUUACAUCUCACAUUCCAGUGUUUCUAGAUUACAUCUCACAUUCCAGUGUUUCUAAUGAAGGUGUAGAUUACAUCUCACAUUCCAGUGUUUCUAAUGGAGGUGUAGAUUACAUCUCACAUUCCAGUGUUUCUAAUGGAGGUGUAGAUUACAUCUCACAUUCCAGUGUUUCUAAUGGAGGUCUAGAUUACAUCUCACAUUCCAGUGUUUCUAAUGGAGGUCUAGAUUACAUCUCACAUUCCAGUGUUUC